rnacentral:lncRNA from 1 species
UUUAAUUAUCUCAAUUUUCCUCAAUAUAUAUUUUUCUAAAAAAAUUAAUAUUUUAUUCAUGUAUAAAACUUUCAUUCCUCAAGAUUAUAAAGAAAAAGAAGGAGUCAAUGCACAAGGAUAACUUUACCUAGGAAGGAAAAGGUCCAUGUUCAAGAAAAGAUACCAGUUCAUUUCUAGACGUCAUAUUUAAAUCGCUUUACGAGUCCGGAGAAUAUUCGGAGGCAGAUAUUCGUGAUGAAAUAAAUACAAUGGUUUUUGCAGGAAGUGAUACUGCCGCUAAU